UUUAUUAAAAAGGUGUCCUUCAAUUGCAGCUUCCAAAACAGUUGCAGAGCUUCUUGGCUGCAGUAUUGAAGAUCUUAAUUUGGCUUUGUCAAAGCGCCACAUGAAAGUCAAUAAUGAAAACAUUGUCCAGAAACUUACGCUUGCCCAGGCUACUGAUGCAAGAGACGCACUGGCCAAAUCAGUCUAUGCCAGUUUGUUUGAGUGGCUUGUAGAACAAAUUAAUAAAUCUCUCUCAGUUGGCAAGCGUCGAACUGGGCGAUCAAUCAGUAUUCUUGAUAUCUACGGCUUUGAAUCAUUUGAUAAGAACAGUUUUGAACAGUUCUGCAUCAAUUAUGCCAAUGAGAGGCUACAACAACAUUUCAAUCGUCAUUUGUUUAAGCUUGAACAAGAGGUGAGUUGCUUUUUAUGUUUUAGC